rnacentral:rRNA from 1 species
UACGUAGGGUGCAAGCGUUGUCCGGAAUUAUUGGGCGUAAAGAGCUCGUAGGCGGUCUGUCGCGUCUGCUGUGAAAACUCGGGGCUUAACCCCGGGCCUGCAGUGGGUACGGGCAGACUAGAGUGCGGUAGGGGAGACUGGAAUUCCUGGUGUAGCGGUGAAAUGCGCAGAUAUCAGGAGGAACACCGGUGGCGAAGGCGGUUCUCUGGGUAUGUCCUGACGCUGAGGAGCGAAAGUGUGGGGAGCGAACAGG